CUUAUUUUUUUAUGUAAGAUCAAAAUGGUCUCAAACAACAAAACCUUUCGUUUGCCUUGAGGCUGCUCCAUAGUUGACACUGUACUGUAAAAGAUCAAGAAUUCUUUGGGCAAAUGCAUCCCAUUGACAGAUUUGUUUCCUCAUAAGGUGCGCCAGUGUCAUUUCGAAACAGUUCCUGUAUCGGUCACGUGACUUGCUGAAAGUAACAUGCGCACCGACACGGGGUUUUGUCUAUGGGCUUGACGCAUGCGCCGACGCAUUGGUGUUGCCGGACCCAUAACUAGUUUUGUGCUGCUGCUGAGCAGUGUGACCCAAAGCUGACUGAUAAGGGCUACAGCGAAACAGUCAAGAAGUGGCUACAUUACACACCAGAGAGAGAGUGAGGCAUAAAGGAACCAACAUGACGCCAACCAGAGUGAAACUUGGGUUACCCCAACGCAUACUGUUUCCCUGGUUCAUACAGCACAAUGCUGUUCUUCCAUGUUGUUCUGACAGUCAAAACGGAGUCAAAUAUGUUUACAGAUCUAUCCCUGUUUUCUUAAAUAAAAUGUUAUAUUAAUGCCAUGUUGUCAUUUUUAAGCUUGUAAACACAUUUUUGGAAAUAUGGUAAUACAAGA